UACAUUUCAACUUACUAUAGUCGGCGCGGCGAACCUUGAUCCCUAUGACACUGACAGCUAAUGUCACCAUAUAACAUUGUAGUGGCGUCACCAUUAAAUUGGGAUCAUAUUGGGGGCGUCUAAAAAUGCCAUUUAUAAAUUUUACGUAGCUUUAUACCAUUAGAAAUGAUAUUCCGUUGAUAUUUUUAACAAUUCUUAACAUUUACAAGAAGUUAUCUCAAUUUGAAUUUAUGUUUACGUCCUGCAAAACUUACGUCGUGUGACCAUUAUCGACUAGGGCGGCAAGUAUCGAUAUCGGCAAGAGCGAUCGCGCGCGUCGCGUCGUAGUAACCGACCAAAUAGUGUGGCUAUAUCUAAAAAUAUGCUAUAAUAUUAUUAUAGCCUAUUGUAGGUUAUAGUAACAAAAUUUUUUCAGACAAAAUAAAUAAAUUGGGAACAUUCAUUUUCAUGAUAAAAUAUAUACUUAUAUAGCAAAAACGUGUUUACCGGGUUAAACAUUAUUAGAAAAUAACAAGGUUGGAAACUUUCGUUUUACUUACCUACUUAA